AAGGAGCACGUUAACGAGUGUCUGGUCUGUGGAGUUUGUGAGUUGGGCUCUACAGUGGCCUAGCUGGGGCCGCCAGACGGGUCGCAGGUUGCGGAUAGCGAAAGGCCACAUACCAGAGGUUAACUGCGAAUAAGUGCAACUCCCCACAAAUAAGCAGUCCCGGACAGUCAGCGGAUGCGUGGCGGCUAACCAUCGCAUCGACAAGGCGCUUGUGCUGCCGCCUUCUUAAAAGCAUAGCUGCACACAUACUUACACGCACUCACACCUGGGCUGGACUAAGGUGUCAGUCGACCCGUGCCGAGAGUCAACCCGGCUGGGGGCCCAGGUUCAACAAAACUAGCCCAGUUUCGAACGGAGAGCUCAGGCAAGUGGCGAUCACCUGUUCUACGCAGCCUUGCUCGGGUAUUGCGGAUCUCUGCCCGGGUGGACCUGUCUCUCUCUCCGCAACUCGUGGGAACAAAAUACAAUGAAUUCAAAUCUACGAAAUCCAAAACGGGAGUUCGGUCCUCCAAAUCAAAGACCAAGGAAUACAACUAGCUUCGCUAGAGGUGGAAGAGGCGGUGGCAUAACCAAGGGCAGCCGCGCAAAAAAUGUUAAGCAAAUACAGCCACAGUCCGGCACAUUCGACGAAACCCCAAUUGUAAGCCGAAGACCUGCACAUUUUUUCAGACCGGAUCCAUCAAAAGCUACCAAAGCUGAUGAAGCCAAAGCCAGUCGGAUAUUAAAGCGCAAUGCUUACGCACCGAUUACUGAAGAUCAGGCCUCGUCGAGGUGGGACUAUCUUAAUGUUCAAGAGGAUAUCGCUUGGGCAAGGGCUGUGUUGCCAAAUUUUGAAGCUGGCUUUGUAAGUCCUCAUCAGCCUGUCGAUGCUGAGCCUAUACUGGAGACAUUGAUUGUUGAGGUUAAAAAUAAGGCAACAACACAAGAGCAUGGAGAGCUCGGAAGAAUUGAUGUAGAGUCUGCAGAUCAUGUAAGCCCCUAUCAGUCUGAUGAGGCUUCCUCGGUAAAUCGUGCCAAAUCUAGUGAGAGUCCCUUAAGAUCUUUUGCCACAAUGGCAAGAGGACGACAGAUAAUUGGUGUCAUUGAUAGCAGCCAGCCGGAUGGCAAAAUUCCCCGAAAUCAAUGGUGCUGGAUACAGGCCGCUAUGGCAGCCGUUGCCCUAGAGGUAUUGCGAGAUAACCCAGGACCGCCGCCCUCAUGCAUGGACAUUGGCUGGUUUCAAGGGACUACCAAGCUGAUAGCCUGCGACAAUGAGCGAUCUGUCCUGCUUUACAGAGCUGCAAUUACCAAGAUUGGUGAAGUAUAUCCAGGAGCUCAGCUGGAAGUGAUAGAUGUGCAGGACAUACCAUCGCGCCCUUGGGCCACAGCUUGGGUGCCGGAAACGCCAUCCGAGUCCAAUGACAUUCUCGAGUUGCUAACAAGAUGCAACCCGAAUUUGCCGAUAAACGACUGGAAGGUUAUCAAAGCGAUCAGGUUCAGGGAGGCUGCCAUGGAGGUGAUAUUUCAGAUCAAUCAAGAGGCAAUCCUGUACCUAUCGAGGUGUGAUGGUCUAUUAAGCUAUGGCUUCAAUAAGAUCAACAUGAAGUACUACGCAACGCCAUAUGAAGCACUCUCAGACCUAGAAGCAUUUGCAGCGGCUGUCGAUCCACCCACUGAUGAUGAUGAAAAGGAAGUCACCGCCGGCGCUUUAAGCGAGGAAUCAUCCUCGGAGUCCGACUGCGAAGGCAGUCGCCACAGCCUUUAAUAGCUGACUUGAGUUGUUUUUUGUGUGUUUGUUGUUUUAGUAACCGUCUACAGAUCGUACUGAAUGCAAAAUUGUUGAGGCGUUCGCGUUUUAUAGCAAAGCAUUGACGCUUCGAUUUACAUGAGAGUUGCUAGCGAGCUUAGAACCGGGCAACGUAGAACCCCAAAACACGUUGACAAUGCCCGGGCCAGAGCAAGUGCGGUUGCGGGAGCUGAAGGCAGCAAUACGCUGGGGGUUAAUAGUGAGAACGACAUGUUAAGCGACUGCGGGUUAAUCAUAAUAAUAAUCUUAAUGAUCGCAUUCACACAAAUAUGUUUCUCUGUGUGCGCGUGUGUGGCGAUACCCGGCCCACAGAAAAAGCUACAAUCAGGCUUUCCAGUUAAGCUAUAGCUCGAGCUGCCCCUCUUGGCACUUAAUUUAGAAAAUUUUUAAAUGGGGGCCCUCGAGUCGUGUUGACAAUCCGUCGAGCUUUGUUUUAGAAAUUGCAUCGCCUGUCAUCGGAAUAUUAUAUAAUUUGACUCCGGCUCGGCAGGCAAGACUAUGACUACGGGUACGGUUACGGCUGACAUGGUUCACUGCGACUACUGAUGGGCGUCCUAUGGCGUCGGUUAUGGCUAA